AAGAAAAAAAAGUACUGUGGUCGUAGGUUACUACAAAGUUAAGAAAUAAAAGAAAAUAUAUCUAAAAAGAAUUACCAUCACUGAAAGAGACACUGCUCCACGCAAAGCUCUCCAGCCAAGAGAUUCUCAACCAAUUCAAACAGCUCCCACCGAGCACGAUCUACCAACUCCACGACAGCUCUGAUCGUCGGUAUUCACAACUUCAGCCUUCACUGCUCAGAUUUCUGCUUCUCCAGCGCCAUCACUGGAUCCCUCAUCUCUUCUCCAUCACCCAGCACAACAACAGGCUCGCUCUCCUGCCUGCCCACAGGUCCCGCUUGGCCACUUGUUCCCCUGCAAUCCCCAACAUCAGAGAUUGGACGAUCUCCAGGCUCCAGCAUUAUCUACAUACCAACAACAUCCCUUUCAAAUCCAGAGCACAUGCAGAUUCAGAGCUCCCGAAGCCGAUCUCCUGCCAACUCAGACUCCUCCCUUUUCAGACAUGAAAUUCCUAUGAGCCACCCGCUGUAUUCCCUGGUUCUCAAGAAACAACUCUUCUCAGCCUCACUCCCCGCUCACUGCAAACAGACUUGUCAUCCUGGAAUUGCUUUAAAAAUGUUCACAUUGCAUUCAACAUUCCCUUCCCUUCAUUUUCAAUGCCUGUAUUAUCAUCCCAUUAAGAACAGAGCUAUAAGAAUCGCCUCCAUCAAAGUUUCAAUUUCCUGUUUUUCUAUAAACUCAUUUUCGGAGCCCCCAGCUCUACACUCAGCAACUCACAAAUUUCAUGAAUCCUGAAAGGGCUUCAACAAUCAGAAUCUCCUUCUCCCCCUGCUUGCCUACCUAUCAGCAUUAACGUACUCUCCCAGUGCAUGUCAUUCAUCCGCUCCGGCUACUCCUCCCAGUUUUUAGACAAAACCUUAGAAGCCCUUUUUCUUCUACCCUUUUUUGGGUUCCUUAGUUGCUCAGUUUACAUCACACUCCAAUAAAUCCAACCUCCAGAUUCACCCCUGUGUCUCUGACCUAUCAAUUACCUCAUUUGAUAUCCCUUCCUUCCUGCUCAAAAGAAGUAUUUAAAUAUUUAGGAACAUUUGUUGUGUAAUAACUAGAGAAACUGAUCAAUUUUGAAUGAAACAAUGCUACUUUUUAUGCUUUAAUAAAUAUUUAAAUUAAAUAUUUAAAUCGUGGAAUAUCUUGUAAUACCU